rnacentral:tRNA from 1 species
GAGGGUAUAGCUCAGUCAUAUAGUGCAUGCCUAGCAUGCAUGAGGUCCUAGUUUCAAUCCCUGGUACCUCCA